rnacentral:rRNA from 1 species
AUACGUAGGGUGCAAGCGUUAAUCGGAAUUACUGGGCGUAAAGCGUGCGCAGGCGGUUUUGUAAGACAGAGGUGAAAUCCCCGGGCUCAACCUGGGAACUGCCUUUGUGACUGCAAGGCUAGAGUACGGCAGAGGGGGAUGGAAUUCCGCGUGUAGCAGUGAAAGGCGUAGAUAUGCGGAGGAACACCGAUGGCGAAGGCAAUCCCCUGGGCCUGUACUGACGCUCAUGCGCGAAAGCGUGGGGAGCAAACAGGAUUAGAUCCCCUGGUAGUCCACGCCCUAAACGAUGUCAACUGGUUGUUGGGUCUUCAUUGACUCAGUAACGAAGCUAACGCGUGAAGUUGGCCGCCUGGGGAGUACGGCCGCAAGGUUGAAACUCAAAUGAAUUGACGGGG